rfam:Triticum aestivum genome assembly, contig: Triticum_aestivum_CS42_TGACv1_scaffold_649842_T_7AS-0.037675_1AL-0.027066
UUUGUACUCCCUCCGUUCCAAAUUACUCGUCGCAGAAAUGGAUGUAUCUAGAACUAAAAUACAUCUAGAUACAUCCAUACCUGCGACAAGUAAUUCGGAACUGAGGGAGUACUAC